rnacentral:rRNA from 1 species
AUGGAAGUUAAUUAAGAGCAUAUGGGGAUGCCUUGGCUCUCAGAGAAUACGAAGGACGUGGUAAGCUGCGAUAAGCUAUGGGGAGGAGCAAACAUCUUUUAAUCCAUAGAUGUCCGAAUGGGGAAACCUAUUGUAUUGAAGAUACAAUAUUGUGAGUAUUCACAAAUAAAACCUAGGGAACUGAAACAUCUAAGUACCUGGUGGAAAAUAAAACAAAAGUGAUUCCGUAAGUAGUGGCGAGCGAAAGCGGAAUAGCCUAAACCAUUUUAUUUUUUAAAGUGGGGUUGUAGGACUAAAUUUAGCAUUUAAGUAAUAAAUAGAAAUUACUGGAAAGUAAUACCGUAGAAAGUGAUAGUCUUGUAUAUGUAAAUUAUUUAUAUGUUUUUAGUAUCCUGAGUAGGGCGGAACUGGAGAAAUUCUGUCUGAAUCUGCCGGCACCAUCCGGUAAGGCUAAAUACUUCUGAGAGACCGAUAGUGAACAAGUACUGUGAAGGAAAGGUGAAAAGAACCCUAAGAAAGGGAGUGAAAAGAACCUGAAACCAUAUGCUUACAAGCGGUAGGAGUUUUAAAUAAUGACUGCGUGCCUUUUGCAUAAUGAUCCUACGAGUUAGUCUUUUUUAACAAGUUUAAGAUUUUAAAAAUCGUAAGCGAAGCGAAAGCGAGUCUGAAUAGGGCAUAAGUUAUGAAAGCUAGACGCGAAACCGAGUGAUCUACCCAUGUCCAGGCUGAAGUUCCGGUAAUUCCGGAAUGGAGGGCCGAACUAGUAAGCGUUGAAAAGCUUUUGGAUGAGAUGUGGGUAGGGGUGAAAGGCUAAUCAAACUCGGAGAUAGCUCGUACUCCCCGGAAAUGCCUUUAGGGGCAGCGUUGUGAAGAUAUAUAUUGGAGGUAAAGCUACCGAUAGGGCUAGGGGGUUUCAUCGCCUACCAACCCCUGACGAACUCAGAAUGCCAAUAUAUAAUAGCAGCAGUGAGGGCCAGGGUGCUAAGGUCAUGGUCCGAGAGGGGAACAACCCAGAUCAACAGCUAAGGUCUCUAAAUUGUUAUUAAGUUGAAUUAAACGAGAUGAAGAUGCUAUGACAGCCAGGAUGUUUGCUUGGAAGCAGCAAUUCAUUUAAAGAGUGCGUAACAGCUCACUGGUCGAGCGUUUUUGUGCGGAAAAUAAUCGGGCAUUAAAUAACAUACCGAAGCUUUGAAUUUUUUAAAUGGUAGGGGAGCAUUCUAUUUUUGUUGAAGAGGAAUUGUGAAAUUUUUGGAAAAAAUAGAAAAGCAAAUGUAGGAAUGAGUAACGAUAAUGGAUGUUAGAAACAUCCACGCCGUAAGACUAAGGAUUCCUGAUCUAUGCUAAACAGAUCAGGGUGAGUCGGGUCCUAAGAAUAAGCCGAGAGGUGAAGUCGAUGGAAAACCGGUUAAUAUUCCGGUACCUUUUAAAGCUGUGAUGGAGUGACGAAGAAACGAAAAGUACGCGUACUGACGGAUUAGUACGUUAAAAAUUUUAGGCAUUGAAAAAAAGAGGAAAAUCCCUUUUUGAGCUGAUGAUUGAUAGUACAUUAAUCAAAUAUGAUUGAUGAUAGUUACUGGUAGUAUGCUUCCUAGAAAAACUUCUAAACUAUAGGCUUUAAAAGUCCGUACCAUAAACCGACACAGGUAGUCGAGGAGAGUAUCCUAAGGCGUUCGAGUGAUUCGUGGCUAAGGAACUAGGCAAAAUAGUCUCGUAACUUCGAAGAAGAGACACCACAAAUUGUGGUCGCAGUUAAGAGGCCCAGGCAACUGUUUAACAAAAAACAUAGGGCUAUGCAAAAUCGUAAGAUGAAGUAUAUGGUCUGACACCUGCCUGGUGCCGGAAGGUUAAGGAAGGAGGUUAAUCGAAAGGUGAAGCUUUUAACUGAAGCCCCGGUAAACGGCGGCCGUAACUAUAACGGUCCUAAGGUAGCGAAAUUCCUUGUCGGGUAAGUUCCGACCUGCACGAAUGGUGUAAUGAUCUGGGCACUGUCUCAGCCACGAGCUCGGUGAAAUUGAAGUAUCGGUGAAGAUACCGAUUACCCGCAUCGGGACGGAAAGACCCCGUGAACCUUUACUAUAGCUUUACAUUGAGCUUGAAUGCAAGAUGUGUAGGAUAGGUGGGAGACUAUGAAGGUGUUACGCUAGUAAUAUCAGAGUCGUUGUUGAAAUACCACCCUUUUUGCAUUUAGGUUCUAAUUCUAAAAUUAGAAGACAUUGUAUGGUGGGCAGUUUGACUGGGGUGGUCGCCUCCUAAAAAGUAACGGAGGCUUGCAAAGGUAUCCUCAGCAUGGUCGGUAAUCAUGCGUAGAGCGUAUUAGUAAAAGGGUGCUUGACUGAAAGGCAGACGUGCCGAGCAGGAACGAAAGUUGGCUAAAGUGAUCCGGUGACUCCGUAUGGAAGGGUCAUCGCUCAAAGGAUAAAAGGUACUCCGGGGAUAACAGGCUGAUCUCGCCCAAGAGCUCAUAUCGACGGCGAGGUUUGGCACCUCGAUGUCGGCUCGUCGCAUCCUGGGGCUGGAGAAGGUCCCAAGGGUUGAGCUGUUCGCUCAUUAAAGCGGCACGCGAGCUGGGUUCAGAACGUCGCAAGACAGUUCGGUCCCUAUCUGAUGUGGGCGUAGAAAUAUUGAAAGGAUCUGACUCUAGUACGAGAGGACCGGAGUUGGACGAACCUCUAGUGUACCUGUUGUGGCGCCAGCUGCAGUGCAGGGUAGCUAUGUUCGGAAUGGAUAAGCACUGAAAGCAUCUAAGUGCGAAGCCAGCCUUAAGAUAAGUGUUUCACCUGAAAAGGAAAGGGUUGUGGUAGACGACCACGUUGAUAGGCUAUAAGUGGAAGCAUAGUAAUAUGUUGAGCUGAGUAGUACUAAUUACCCGAAGGCUUCCAAAU